ACCGAGCACGCCGCGUGAGUGAAGAAGGUUUUCGGAUCGUAAAACUCUGUUGUUAGAGAAGAACAAGGAUGAGAGUAGAACGUUCAUCCCUUGACGGUAUCUAACCAGAAAGCCACGGCUAACUACGUGCCAGCAGCCGCGGUAAUACGUAGGUGGCAAGCGUUGUCCGGAUUUAUUGGGCGUAAAGCGAGCGCAGGCGGUUUCUUAAGUCUGAUGUGAAAGCCCCCGGCUCAACCGGGGAGGGUCAUUGGAAACUGGGAGACUUGAGUGCAGAAGAGGAGAGUGGAAUUCCAUGUGUAGCGGUGAAAUGCGUAGAUAUAUGGAGGAACACCAGUGGCGAAGGCGGCUCUCUGGUCUGUAACUGACGCUGAGGCUCGAAAGCGUGGGGAGCGAACAGGAUUAGAUACCCUGGUAGUCCACGCCGUAAACGAUGAGUGCUAAGUGUUGGAGGGUUUCCGCCCUUCAGUGCUGCAGCAAACGCAUUAAGCACUCCGCCUGGGGAGUACGACCGCAAGGUUGAAACUCAAAGGAAUUGACGGGGGCCCGCACAAGCGGUGGAGCAUGUGGUUUAAUUCGAAGCAACGCGAAGAACCUUACCAGGUCUUGACAUCCUUUGACCACUCUAGAGAUAGAGCUUCCCCUUCGGGGGCAAAGUGACAGGUGGUGCAUGGUUGUCGUCAGCUCGUGUCGUGAGAUGUUGGGUUAAGUCCCGCAACGAGCGCAACCCUUAUUGUUAGUUGCCAUCAUUUAGUUGGGCACUCUAGCGAGACUGCCGGUGACAAACCGGAGGAAGGUGGAGAUGACGUCAAAUCAUCAUGCCCCUUAUGACCUGGGCUACACACGUGCUAC
rnacentral:rRNA from 1 species